AGGGGCUUCAAAAAUGAGUCAAGUUUAGUUGGACACAGCUCAGAUUUCUGAGGCAGGGGUGGUGGAAUGGGAAGCAGCAUGCCCAGAGCUAGCCACCACCAGCUGGAUUGCUUUGGUGCUGACAUCCUAGACAAGCUGGACAAUCCUUUGUGAAGCUUGCUCUUUGAGGGAAAGUUUAGUAAGGACAAAGCUGGCCUGGCCUCUUCUAACCAGCUUGGCUGCUGCUAACUGAUGCUGUCCUUAAGGCCUGCCUCCUUCCAAACUGCCUGCCUUUGGCACCAUCUCUGCUGCCCAGGGGUUUGGCCAGCUGAAGGCUCGUUCAUCAUUGUCUGCCCCUUCAAUGGAAAGUGGAGGGUCAGUUUUAAAAGGAUCCAUGUUACAAGCUUUCCUAAAUACAUCAAUAGCUCCCUAAUGGAAUUGGGACUGUUGUCACUCAGACCACCCAAGUGUUCUGGCAAGCAAAUGUGCUUCAGAUACAUAUUGCAGGAACAGGGCAUGGACAACUUGAAACCCACCACAGAGUCCUUCAGAUUGUGAAAUAAUGAAGGGCAGACCAGAUGGAGAGGGCCUGGUAUUGCAGGUGCUUAAUUAUAAGACCCUUUUGGAAUCAGUCCAAUGCAAACUUGACAUUUUGAAGUAUUCAUGACUCAUUUAUAAUAUUUUUGUUGUAUUCCAGCUUUCAAACAAAGUGAUGAUUUUGCCGGCACAUGAAUGAUAAAACAUUUGUAAUAAAAAAAAUUUAAUCCAUCCCACAGCACAACAAAAACAAUAUAUGUGUGUAUGUAUAUUUGCUUAUGCUAUGUAUUUAAAAUAUCAUGCACAAAACUCCAGAAAAUAAAGAAACUGGUUC